GAUGAAGAACGCAGCGAAAUGCGAUAAGUAAUGCGAAUUGCAGAAUCCGUGAGUCAUCGAAUCUUUGAACGCACAUUGCGCCCCUUGGUUAUUCCGAAGGGCAUGCCUGUCCGAGCGUCAUUUCAACCCUCAAGCCCCCGGGCUUGGUGUUGGGGAUCGGCGAGCCUCCGCGCCCGCCGUCCCCUAAAUCUAGUGGCGGUCUCGCUGUAGCUUCCUCUGCGUAGUAGCACACCUCGCACUGGGAAACAGCGCGGCCACGCCGUUAAACCCCCAACUUCUGAACGUUUGACCUCGGAUCAGGUAGGAAUACCCGCUGAACUUAAGCAUAUCAAUAAGCGGAGGA
rnacentral:misc_RNA from 1 species